rnacentral:lncRNA from 1 species
GUGGAUUUUUGGUUCGUAAUCAAGUUUGUUUGAUUUGCAAUUUUAUACGUUUUUCCAACCUAGCGUGUUAGCGUCAAUCUUAGUCUUCUGUGUUCCUAUUGGAUGAAGAGAUUGUCAUGUCCAAUCAGAGGCGCUGACGUGUCUGGUGAAAAUGUCCCGAGGCUCUAGAGAAGAGGAGGACUAGUCCGAGGAAGAGGGAGGCUGAGCGACAACUUUGACUCAAAGUAGAAUAAGUGGAAGCAGAGUCUACUUUCUGUUUGUGACAACGUCAUACUUUGGACCAGAGAAGUCCAUCCAUUCUGGACCCUGUCGGCGGACCUCCAAGCUCCCCGGAUGACAGGAGGGCGCGUGCUCAUCCGGCGCCGCCUCGCCUCGUGUGAAGCCCGCCUUGGCAUGUGCCGUCCACUGAAGGUCGCCAUCAAACCCUGACGAGCUGCAGAGGAGGAGGAGGAGGAGGAGGAGGAAGAGGAGGCGCCGCUGCUGCUGGGCUUCCUCCACAAAUCAGCUUCACCGCCUGCCUCUCUCCUCUGCUGCUUCUGCCUCUUAUUACAAUAUCACUUUAAUUUUGCACUGCAGGUGUUUUAUGAAAACACAAAGUGGAAUAAAAAGGGACACGGCUGGUUCUGGUUUGUUGAUUUGUUCCUGUGAAGCUCCGUUUCCAACAUGCUGGGGGCGGCGCUCUGCAGCUGAGAGGAGACCUCAUCUUCUUUGAACCCCGAGUGUCCGAUUCUUCGCAGCCCUCGCCGACUAUAAUCAUCUCCAUAAUUAUCAGACUCGUUUUACCAGAUAAAUUGGCUGUGGAGCAAAUAUUUAAACUAUGAAAUUACAGCUCAUUUGUAUGCUUUUAGCUGACACUGAUAAACAUCUUAUAAGAUUCCCGCCGGUUUGACCAAAUUUACUCCACGCUCCAAAGAUCUGAUCAUUUCUUUUUCUGAAGAUCCAUUCCAGCUGAGAAACUCAUUUGUGACAUGAAAAUAAUUGCAUUGUGUUAUGUCUUUCUCAGUAAACCUUUUUAAAUCAAAUGUAUGGUUUUCUGCAAAAACCCAACAGAUUUGUCAUUUAAGUUCCAUAUUUAUCAUUUCAAACUCUUAGUUUUUACACAACAGUAUGAAUGAACAUGGGUGGGCGUGGCUGUAGGGCACUUUGACAUUAGUGAAGGCAGGAGUGUACUGAACAGAUGCGUUUGAGUCUGUGGGACAAAAGAAGUUCAGGGGUCCCU